rnacentral:piRNA from 1 species
GACAGGAGGAGCUUCAGUAACCCCAAGGCCU